UACGUAGGGGGCAAGCGUUGUCCGGAAUCAUUGGGCGUAAAGAGCGUGUAGGCGGCUCGAUAAGUCUGCUGUGAAAGUCCAGGGCUCAACCCUGGAAGGCCGGUGGAAACUGUCGGGCUAGAGUCCGGAAGAGGCGAGUGGAAUUCCCGGUGUAGCGGUGAAAUGCGCAGAUAUCGGGAGGAACACCAAUGGCGAAGGCAGCUCGCUGGGACGGUACUGACACUGAGGCGCGAAAGCGUGGGGAGCGAACAGG
rnacentral:rRNA from 1 species